rnacentral:rRNA from 1 species
GACGAACGCUGGCGGCGUGCUUAACACAUGCAAGUCGAACGGAAAGGCCCUGCUUUUGUGGGGUGCUCGAGUGGCGAACGGGUGAGUAACACGUGAGUAACCUGCCCUUGACUUUGGGAUAACUUCAGGAAACUGGGGCUAAUACCGGAUAGGAGCUCCUGCUGCAUGGUGGGGGUUGGAAAGUUUCGGCGGUUGGGGAUGGACUCGCGGCUUAUCAGCUUGUUGGUGGGGUAGUGGCUUACCAAGGCUUUGACGGGUAGCCGGCCUGAGAGGGUGACCGGCCACAUUGGGACUGAGAUACGGCCCAGACUCCUACGGGAGGCAGGAGUGGGGAAUAUUGCACAAUGGGCGGGAGCCUGAUGCAGCAACGCCGCGUGCGGGAUGACGGCCUUCGGGUUGUAAACCGCUUUCGCCUGUGACGAAGCGUGAGUGACGGUAAUGGGUAAAGAAGCACCGGCUAACUACGUG